UAAAGUUUGAUAGCUCUUCCCCCUCCCUCACCUUACUCUUCAAUUUCCGCUUAAGCUUCCCCGGUUUGGGGGAUUAAUUGAUUGGAUACCCGAGAUCCAUAAUCUUUCCUAGGAACAGCUUCUACGACGAUAGAUAGGGGUCAGCUUUCUUUGGCAUCUAUGCCCCCUGCCCUCCAAACAGUAUGGGAGCCUUUCAGCUCGUACUGCUCACACUCCUAGAUCUUCACGGCACCUCCUCCACCAUAGUGUGAGCUGCUCCCAGCGGAGAAAAGCAAGGCCUACUUCGAAAUUAGCUUUCAACAACGUCAACAACACCACGAAAAAAGUCAACAAUGGUUGCCCACUAAUCUGAUCAUAGGUGAAAUCCAAUCCCUUCGCUUCGCGCCAGGCUUUGAAACCGUAAGUCAGGCGCCUUCGGCCCUCUCCGAGUUGCUAAAGCACCUCUCGGAAGCGAGAAAGCGAGCAGCAAGCUGGAAAAAGGGGAAAGUGGUUUUAUAAAGCAAAAUAAGCUAAGGGGGCUGGCUAGGAAUCGCAAGAAUUGAGAAGGGUGGGAAAGACAGGUUCGGAAAUGGCCGGAUUAGCAGGAGGAAGGUCUUGAAGAACCUGAAACAAAGAAAGGUGUACAUUAAAAAAAGAGGCUGGUUAUGGCCUUUACUUGAUAGGACUCCUUUCCCAUCUAUCUUGACCGGGAAGAGGGGAUCAAAACCCUUGCGGAAGCCCUGCCCACCCUUCUGGAUCCCUCAUAUUUAUGAUUCCAGGCUUCCCGGACUCGUAAUAGACGGCUAAGAACAAGCAGAGGGUCAGUAGUCUCUGCCGUUGCAGGUCCUUCUCCUUCCGCUGAGACGGCCCUCUUUUUUUUGUUUGUUCACCGCGGCACGAAAUCAUGAAGAAGCUGGAAUAACUCAGAAAGAGAGUGGCACCUAGCCGUUGAGAGCGUCUAUUAUCUUUGUAGAGGAACAGUAUGAUCUUGGACUGGCCCCCUUCGCAUGACCUAGAAAGAUAAAGAAGUCCAUGCUACUAUAAGGCCUCUAAACUCCUCCCUCAGGACACUAUUGCGUUGCCCAUGGGGACGGGGUAGCCCCGACUUCCAUAGGUCCUUGGUUCGACCUCCUAAUGAGAAUUGAGGUCCUUGCGCGGGCGUCUCAUCCCUAAGACUUGCUUGCUCUGUAUGGAGUGCCCUGUGGUUCCUCGAGUGCCAGCCGCAGAGAGGAAUGCCAUCAACUAGGGCGCUAUUGGCCACUAACCACUCGCUCGCCAGCCGCUCGGGCUCCGCGUUUCAAGUUCGUUAUCCUAACCGUCCCCUCUGCUCCACCGGGUGCCUGGCCCCUUCUUCUAUCUUAUCUACUGCCUUGCUCCUCGGCUCCCUACAGCUCCAGCCGCUCGCUGUAAUAGCUUGCUUCUCGGGUGGCUCGCACCCCCGGGUGGUGCGGCUGAGCCAGAGUGGGCUCAACAGUCGGCCUAUGUUUCCGGGCGCACGCGUAAAGGCAUGAUUAGUUCCACAAAUCUCACUGCACUGACCAUAGUAAACUCCUUCUCGUUGUACCAAAAUAGAGAUUUGAUUUAAACGACCAGGUACAGCAUCACAUUUGACACCUGAGGAAGGUACAGCCCAACUAUG
rnacentral:lncRNA from 1 species